rnacentral:lncRNA from 1 species
GCUUAGAGCAGAAUGAGGACCUGUGACAAUUCAAGUUGUGAGGAGUAUACCCUUGGAAUGGAACAGGGGUAGUUCUGACGGUGUUGGCUCAACAGGAAGGAAAUGGAAAUUAAUGACAAAUCAGAUGUGAAAUUAACAUGACAUGUACAGGAGGUCUCAUAUCUGCAUGUAUCUGCAUUCUCAGAUACUAGUAUCCUUUAAUAUACCUGGUACCAUAUUCAGCAAGUGAGGAACUAUGGUAAUGGCAGCAUUCAAAGCUGGUUUUGUUGUUACUUUUCCUUAUGUUCUCCAGUCUUUACCAUUACUAUUUCAGUGGGCAUAAUGAUGGAGAGCAAUGGGCUGAAGUUCAGGAAGAGAAAAAUAAAUAAAAAAAAGAACCCCAAAGCCCUUCCCUCUUUAAGAUAUGCCUUCUGUUAUGCACAACAAUAAAUUGAGCAGGCUGUUAUUGGAGUUUUAAUAAGACCAUAAACUUUCUACUCUAUGUAAAAUGAAACAGUUGAUUUAGUUUAUAACAAUACAAACAAUAAAAGCUCCUGUAAAAUAUAUGUAAUUAUCUGAAGUAUGAAUUUGAUUACAGAGUAUAAUGCUGACAAAAUGCACUGCAUCUGAUGCAGCUAGGCAGAAGAGGUAGGAGAAUAAUUAAAAACUGUUACACCAUAAUUCAUUCAAAACUUGAGAGUCUGACUUCCAAUAUAAACCAACACAUCCUGAGAAAGGUCAGCUUGGAAGAUAACUGCAGUUACCAACCAAUAUAAGCUUCAGUCAAGGCAAAAUAAGUAUGCCUCUUCCAAUCUCCUUGCCUGCAGGCAUCUGCUUUGUGCCAGUCAUAGUUAAUUUUGCACUAGAAUGCCAUGUAGGACUGCCAGCUGGAACAGGGAGAAUGAGAACAAUGUGGGUGGUGAAGGAUCACAGUGAGGGGGGUUCCAAGAAACUUUUUCUCUCAUGGUGGCUGUGACCUUAAGAAGAGGAAUCCAGAAGCAUCUGAAACACUUUGUUAGAUAACCC